rnacentral:rRNA from 1 species
AAAGGAAGAAGAUCUAAGAAUGCUUCUUUAAGAAGCUUUCUUGAUGGAGGGGAGUGGCAGACGGGUGAGUAACGCGUGGGAACAUACCCUUUUCUACGGAAUAGCUCUGGGAAACUGGAAUUAAUACCGCAUACGCCCUACGGGGGAAAGAUUUAUCGGGGAAGGAUUGACCCGCGUUGGAUUAGCUAGUUGGUGGGGUAAAGGCCUACCAAGGCGACGAUCCAUAGCUGGUCUGAGAGGAUGAUCAGCCACAUUGGGACUGAGACACGGCCCAAACUCCUACGGGAGGCAGCAGUGGGGAAUAUUGGACAAUGGGCGCAAGCCUGAUCCAGCCAUGCCGCGUGAGUGAUGAAGGCCUUAGGGUUGUAAAGCUCUUUCACCGAUGAAGAUAAUGACGGUAGUCGGAGAAGAAGCCCCGGCUAACUUCGUGCCAGCCGCCGCAGUAACAC